rnacentral:rRNA from 1 species
GAUGAACGCUGGCGGCGUGCCUAAUACAUGCAAGUCGAGCGAACAGACGAGGAGCUUGCUCCUCUGACGUUAGCGGCGGACGGGUGAGUAACACGUGGAUAACCUAUCUAUAAGACUGGGAUAACUUCGGGAAACCGGAGCUAAUACCGGAUAAUAUAUUGAACCGCAUGGUUCAAUAGUGAAAGACGGUUUUGCUGUCACUUAUAGAUGGAUCCGCGCCGCAUUAGCUAGUUGGUAAGGUAACGGCUUACCAAGGCGACGAUGCGUAGCCGACCUGAGAGGGUGAUCGGCCACACUGGAACUGAGACACGGUCCAGACUCCUACGGGAGGCAGCAGUAGGGAAUCUUCCGCAAAGGGCGAAAGCCUGACGGAGCAACGCCGCGUGAGUGAUGAAGGUCUUCGGAUCGUAAAACUCUGUUAUUAGGGAAGAACAAAUGUGUAAGUAACUAUGCACGUCUUGACGGUACCUAAUCAGAAAGCCACGGCUAACUACGUG